CAAGUCGAACGAGAAAGUGGAGCAAUCCAUGAGUAAAGUGGCGCACGGGUGAGUAACACGUGACUAACCUACCCUUGAGUGGGGAAUAACCUAGGGAAACCUGGGCUAAUACCGCAUAACACCUACGGGUCAAAGGAGCAAUUCGCUUAAGGAGGGGGUCGCGGCAGAUUAGCUAGUUGGCGGGGUAAUGGCCCACCAAGGCGGUGAUCUGUAUCCGGCCUGAGAGGGCGCACGGACACACUGGAACUGAAACACGGUCCAGACUCCUACGGGAGGCAGCAGUGGGGAAUUUUGCGCAAUGGGGGAAACCCUGACGCAGCAACGCCGCGUGGAGGAUGAAGUCCCUUGGGACGUAAACUCCUUUCGAUCGGGACGAUUAUGACGGUACCGGAGGAAGAAGCCCCGGCUAACUUCGUGCCAGCAGCCGCGGUAAUACGAGGGGGGCAAGCGUUGUUCGGAAUUAUUGGGCGUAAAGGGUGCGUAGGCGGUUCGGUAAGUCUUAUGUGAAAUCUUCAGGCUCAACUUGAAGUCUGCAUGAGAAACUGCCGGGCUUGAGUGUGGGAGAGGUGAGUGGAAUUUCCGGUGUAGCGGUGAAAUGCGUAGAUAUCGGAAGGAACACCUGUGGCGAAAGCGGCUCACUGGACCAUAACUGACGCUGAUGCACGAAAGCUAGGGGAGCAAACAGGAUUAGAUACCCUGGUAGUCCUAGCCCUAAACGAUGAUCGCUUGGUGUGACGGGUACCCAAUCCCGCCGUGCCGAAGCUAACGCGUUAAGCGAUCCGCCUGGGGAGUACGGUCGCAAGGCUGAAACUCAAAGGAAUUGACGGGGGCCCGCACAAGCGGUGGAGCAUGUGGUUUAAUUCGACGCAACGCGAGAACCUUACCUGGGCUCGAAAUGUACAGGAAUCCGGUGGAAACAUCGGCGCCCGCAAGGGGCCUGUAUAUAGGUGCUGCAUGGC
rnacentral:rRNA from 1 species